UGCCAGAAUCAUAUGCUUGUCCCGAAGCUUAAGCCAUGCAUGUGUCAGAACAAUAGUAGCUUGAUCUAGAAUCUGCGAACGGCUCCGUAUAUCUGUUAUAACCUACCGCCGCUCAAAACCAGCGGCAUAACCACGGUAAUUCUGUGGCUAAUACGUGUACUACGGGCGCUGCCGGGCGCAAGCCUGGCGGCCCUGGUCUUGCCGGUCGACCAACGGCGGGUAAAACCGCUCGCGUGAGAGCUGGCAAGGGUACCUGACCGCGGCACCAGCUGCGGCACGAGCGGUGGGCAUCAGACCUAUCAACUAGAUGCCCAGGUAUUGUCUGGGCAUGGUGAUAACGGGUACAGAGGAUCAGGGUUCGGUCCUGGAGAGGUAGCCUGAGAGAUCGCUACUACUUCUAAGGAAGGCAGCAGGCGCGCAACGUUCCCAAUGGCCCGCGGUAAUUCCAGCUCCAAUAGCAUCUUGUUAAGUUGUUGCAGUUAAAACGCUCGUAGUCAAAGCCAGUGCGUCCCCUGGGCUCCUAGUACUGCGGUGCGCCCGCCUCGCCCCUAGCGGGGCCGAGGCGGGACCCGUGGGAGCGUUGUUCGGAGGCCACUAUUACGCUGGGGGAACCGGACGGGCGGGGCUUCAGUGUCCCGACCGCCCACCCUCGGCACUUUACUUUGAACAAACGUGAGCGCUCGAAGCAGGCCAUAUCGGCCCUUGAAACCCGCAGCAAAGAAUAAUGAAGCAGGAACCCCGCCUGCUCGUUGGUUAAGGUCGGGUUAAUGAUCUAUAGGGGCGAUCGGGGCGAGCCACAUGGCGGGGGUAGGGGUGAAAUCCGUUGAUCCUCGCCAGGUGAACUAAAGCGAAGGCAGCUCGCAAGUACGCUUUCUUUGAUCAAGAACGAAAGUCUGGGGAUCGAAGAUGAUCAGAUACCAUCGUAGUCCAGACCCUAAAUCAUGCCGGCCAUGGAUGGGCUCUCGUCCAUCCCGACCCAGCCCGCACUUUAUAGGAAACUAUAAGCGUUUGGGCUCCGGGGGGAGUAUGGUCGCAAGACUGAAACUUAAAGGAAUUGACGGAAGAGCACACAAGGAGUGGAGCCUGCGGCUUAAUUUGA
rnacentral:rRNA from 1 species